CUGUGUGGAUGGUGUUCAGAACCAACGACAGAUGUGUUUACCUGUGUGUGGAUAGUGUUCAGCACCAAGGACAGGUAUGUUUACCU
rfam:Branchiostoma floridae genomic scaffold BRAFLscaffold_242, whole genome shotgun sequence.